GUGGGGAAUCUUAGACAAUGGGGGCAACCCUGAUCUAGCCAUGCCGCGUGAGUGAUGAAGGCCUUAGGGUCGUAAAGCUCUUUCGCUGGGGAAGAUAAUGACGGUACCCAGUAAAGAAACCCCGGCUAACUCCGUGCCAGCAGCCGCGGUAAUACGGAGGGGGUUAGCGUUGUUCGGAAUUACUGGGCGUAAAGCGCGCGUAGGCGGAUUGGAAAGUUGGGGGUGAAAUCCCGGGGCUCAACCCUGGAAUGGCCUUCAAAACUCCCAGUCUUGAGGUCGAGAGAGGUGAGUGGAAUUCCGAGUGUAGAGGUGAAAUUCGUAGAUAUUCGGAGGAACACCAGUGGCGAAGGCGGCUCACUGGCUCGAUACUGACGCUGAGGUGCGAAAGCGUGGGGAGCAAACAGGAUUAGAUACCCGAGUAGUCC
rnacentral:rRNA from 1 species